rnacentral:lncRNA from 10 species
CAGAAGUUGUCCGAUCACUCGCCUCUCGCCGGACGUGGGCAACCCGAAUGCGGUGGGACUGCAUUUCUCCUCAUCCUUCCAUUGGCUCCCCACGGACCCCCCAGAAACUCCUGACCUCUACCGUGCAAUUCACGGGAGCUGCCCGGGCACGGAAAGCAAAAUCAGCUUGGAGAAACACUUCUCAAGCCUGCAAGACCCGGUGGCACGUUCAUUCUUGCAUUGAUUGGCCCUCAACUGACUGGAUGCUGCCUGCCCACAUUGGUGAGGGUGAUCUUCUUUAGAGUCUACCGUGGAAAUGCUAAUCUCUUCCUGAAACACCCACACAGGUAUACCCAGAGGUUAUGUUUUACUAGUUACCUGGGGAUCCCUUAGCCCAGUCAAGUUGACACAAAAUUAACAUCAUAGAUGGUUACUUAGGAAGAUGCUAGAAUUCCAAUGUGAACAGAGCAUAGGGUCAGUGGAAAUGGGAGGAUAUGAGUGUGAAAAGCAUCUUUUUUUUUUUUCUGAGACAAGAGUUUCACUCUUUUUGCCCAGGCUGGAG